CUCCCAGCUGUCUGGCCCGGAUGGUGUCGGGCGUGUCCAUCUCGAUCAGGCGACCGUCCGCCGCCCGCCACUGGUGAGGCGUCGACGACUGACGUGCACGCCGCCGCCGCCACGACGACAACAACAACGCACCGUUAGAACUUCCUGACGGCUUUGUUGUAGUUGUCGCUCCUGAUGGCGAUGCCGUGGCGUCCGAUGGUGGCGAUGUACUGCGUCUCCUGCUCCAGCAGCGAGAACAGGGCCGCUUUCCUCUCGGCCCCUCGCAGCGUCGCGUUGAUCUGAUGCUCCUUGUCGCUCCUCCACUCUGAAGAACACACAAUGGCGUUGUACAGCAGGUUGAGGUCAUCCUUCUUCCGCGGUUGCAUCCAGCGGUCGUGGCUGUCUCGCAGCUGCUCCGUCCUCUCCUCGUGCCUGCGGCGCUCCUGAAGAUCGAUCCAGGCCAGACGACGGUCACGCUCCCGCCUCAGCCGCUCCACCGCCCGGCAGCUCAGCCAGCGACGGGUGUGCGCCUGCAGGCGGAUCACCUGCCGGGGACACGCCGCAGUCCCGAUCGGCUCAUUCAAAUACACCAACUCCAGUUGCGCAUGAAGAGUAAGAAGAUGGACUAAUCCAUUGCGAAGGAAGGGCGGUGGGGUACAGUGGUCAACCUCGGCUACGUCAACGUCCAACAUGUCCAAUUACCCAAUCUGAAGUGAGGCUGAUUGCUCUAUGCCGCACUUCAUCUCACCCUUUGAGCUUGGUAACAGUGUUUCACAUGCAUCAAAGCUAACUCACAGCAUUGAGCCUGGCGUCGUGAUACUCGUCUGCGGUCACGUAGCGGCCCGGGCUGAGCAGUUUGUCCUUGAGGUUGGAGAUGUAGCAGCCCACGCUGGUCAUCUGCGUGGUGACGCUGGAGGCGCACUGCUGGGUCUGAAGCACCUGUUCCGCAGUCUGAGGUUGACACCUGUGUGUCUCGGCUGACUAUGUCCACCCCUCGGCCGGGUCUCGCCCUGCGUGGGGUCUGGGCGGCGGCGUGGUGGUACUCGGCGCCCGUCAGCUUGUGCCUGUAGCCACCCAGGAAGGGCUUCUUCAGGUGGGGAUGCUCGCUCUCCCCUGGCGCGUCCUGCGGAGCGCCAUCGUCUGGAACGAGAUCAUCUGGUGUGCCACAGGAAAUCCUCCAAUUUCAAGUCUGAAAUAUUUAUUCACUACAAACAAUGUACAUACAGUAAGUGUAGUCAUCUAGCUACAGUAUGCCAGCGACAUAAGUGAUAGGCCGAACAAAGAAAUGCGCCUACACGAGAUGGCCGAAGGUCCAAAUAUUCUGUAUACAAUAUACAACACAAUAAUAACUUUGUAUUGAAGUAAAUAGGCCCAGAUUUCACACUGACUUUUGUAAGUAAACUGAGACAAGAUAAUCAUUUAAUGUACAUGAAUAUAUUUUGUGACGCGUUUGGUGAGCCAUGAGAUUUUUCGAAUGUAAAGUACUGUAUGCGCCUUGACUCCAUAAAGGUUGAGAAACACUGAUCAAGAGCAGUGAUUUGCAACCUUUAUGGAGCCAAGGCGCAUGUUUGGCAAUUGAAAAAUAUCACGGCACACCAACAAACAAAAAUGUCACAAAAAGUGGAUACAUUAAUUACUGUAUGUACUUCCUGCCAUCUAAUAGAAGACCAUUCAUUUGUUUUCUCUGUCACUAUGCCUCACUGGCAUAAAUAGAUGAAUAAAGAUACAUUAUUUCUUGGGAAUAUAUAAUUUUUUAAGUAAUUAAUUAAAAUUUGAUAAUUUUCCACGGCACACCUGAAGAGCA